GGCCCUGCGGCCCCCUCGCAGCGGUGCUGAGCAGCACUGGGCUGGCGGCCUUAGCAAGUGCUUGUGAGCUCCAGUCGGAAAUGAGAAAUGGCGUUGCAUGGCACCGACACCACUCUAGGGACUGCCUCAUCUGAAAGCAGAAACAACGGCUAUCAGGGCGUCGUCGACCAAGAAAAGCUAUUCCUAUAGCUGUCAUCCAUGUUUGGCGAAUAUGGAUGCUGAUGGAUUGACCAUGAGUGAUCAACCUUUCACUGAGGGACCACUGGUCCUAAAGAAGCACAGGACAGUGAGAAUUACCAAUUGCAGAGAACGAUCGUUUCACUGUGCAGCGCCGCCCAGUGCACAGAGCUGCUGCUGCAUCCAGGGACAGCAGCGACACUCGGCACGGCCGGCAGGGAUGAGCAGCCUUUCCCAGACAGCUCAAACAACGCUACUGAGAUCUUGAGAAAAAGAAGCUUUUUUAUUUCCAGCUUUCCUUCUCCAACACGUGUAGUAUUUGCCUU